AGAGAGACGUGAUAACACAGCUAACAGCAUCAGCACCCCACAGAAUUAAACGUCUUUGGAGACGUGUGGUGCGCAGGAACUAACAUACACAACAAUGUGCUGCACUCAGGAGAGGACAACAAUUCGCUUGACCUGUCAAACAUGUUAGAUAACUUCUGUUGUCACCAUUUAUUUGUCCCAAGACUACAACUAAGUUUUCACACCAUCAGCAGUGGCUGGGAUGACAAUUCACUCAGAACUGAGGGGAAUCUAACACUCAGUCAGUUAUGGAAGAUGGGAAGCAUCCAGCAUGCUGUGGUAGAACCAGAAAUCACAGAGGGACUCUGCCUGCCUCAUAUUGACUGGAACAACAGUGGAC